AAAAAAGAAAAAAGAAAAAAAAAAAGGUAAAUUGAAGGUAGGUCUUUCUGGAUACUUUGGGAUCCUGAUGUCUUUGAGUAAAGCGGCUAAGAUAGGAUCCACGGUACUGGGAAGAGCUAUUGAUCUAGACUAUGGGGAGAAACUGGACUGCUUUUCCACAAUGGAAAUAAAGGGCUGCAUAUCUGGAGUGCAAGAGAUCCUCUGGGGUGUACUCUUAGUGUUGCCAUGCCCUGUGAUUCAGGUCAAUGGGAAACGAUAACAACCCAGCCCAAGCAGGAGGGUAAAUGGCUCAGAUCCUUUAGGAAUGAAGAAAGGAACAACACAACCUGCUGAGGCACUUCUGAGAAUGGAGGAGAUGCAGAUGGGGUGCUAGAGGAAGAUAAGCUAUAAAUACCAAGUAAGGCCAUGUGACCAGUUACAGACAUGAUCAUUGUAAUGGCCAUUGGGUGUUCCUGUCCUAGUUUGUUUCAAACAUGUUUGUUUGAAACCUGCAUGCUACAGUACUGAUCCUCCAGGCAAGAUGUGCUCACUGGUGCAAUAGUGGCAUGGCUAUCAUGGGGUAACCAGCUGCUCUCUGAUUUACCACGAGGCCUGCUACCCAAGAGGGGAUCCAUGCCUGCUAUCAACCUGAUUUGUGCUCCUGUCAUCAGCCUUGAUUAGAGAAGCUUCCUUCUGCGGUGGCAAAGUACUGUGGAAUAUGAAUUUAAGAUGUGUUACAUUUGUUAAUGCUGUGGAAUGGUUGUUUAAUGAUGCAAAGACGUGUCUGUAAGAAUUCAGGCAUUAUGCUGGCCCACCCCGUCACCUGGCAGAAUGCACUCAGGCAGUACCCUGGUCAGCCCAGGGUUCCAUGAUUGCCUAGUCUGUACGCAGGUGCAAAGGACCCUUUUAAAAGAAAGACACCCUCCCCCCACAUAAGCUCUCUUUCCCUCUCUCUUUCCUGCUAUUAUUCCUCUGGGGCAGACAGGACUUUUCCUGUCUCACUCUUCUCUUCACCUCUUUCCUCCCCUCCCCCCCUUUCCUUUCCUAAUAAAACUUCUCACUUAAGCUCUGUCUGCCUGGCAUGUUUGUCCCUUGCCUGCCAUGGAGUCUGCCAAGGUUCCCCUCACGAUUUAUCAUGACAC
rnacentral:lncRNA from 1 species